rnacentral:rRNA from 1 species
AACGAACGCUGGCGGCGUGCCUAACACAUGCAAGUCGAACGGAAUUGAGGGGCUUGCUCUUCAAUUUAGUGGCGCACGAGUGAGUAACGCGUGGAUAAUCUGCCUGACGAUCUGGGAUAACAUCUCGAAAGGGGUGCUAAUACCGGAUAAGCCCACGGGAACUUCGGUUUUUGCGGGAAAAGGGGGGGACCUUUUGGCCUUCUGUCGUCAGAUGAGUCCGCGUACCAUUAGCUAGUUGGUAGGGUAAAGGCCUACCAAGGCUACAAUGGUUAGCGGGUUUGAGAGAAGGAUCAGCAACACUGGAACUGAGACACGGUCCAGACUCCUACGGGAGGCAGCAGUGGGGAAUUUUGCGCAAUGGGCGAAAGCCUGACGCAGCAACGCCGCGUGAGUGAUGAAGGCUUUCGGGUCGUAAAGCUCUGUCAGAGGGAAAGAAGUGUAUUUUGGCUAAUAUCCUUAAUACUUGACGGUACCCAUAAAGGAAGCACCGGCUAACUCCGUGCCAGCCGCCGCGGUAAUAC